rnacentral:rRNA from 1 species
UAUGGAUUGUAAACUGCUUUUAUACGAGAAGAAACACUGCUUCGUGAAGCAGCUUGACGGUAUCGUAAGAAUAAGGAUCGGCUAACUCCGUGCCAGCAGCCGCGGUAAUACGGAGGAUCCAAGCGUUAUCCGGAAUCAUUGGGUUUAAAGGGUCCGUAGGCGGUUUAAUAAGUCAGUGGUGAAAGCCCAUCGCUCAACGGUGGAACGGCCAUUGAUACUGUUAAACUUGAAUUAUUAGGAAGUAACUAGAAUAUGUAGUGUAGCGGUGAAAUGCUUAGAGAUUACAUGGAAUACCAAUUGCGAAGGCAGGUUACUACUAAUGGAUUGACGCUGAUGGACGAAAGCGUGGGUAGCGAACAGGAUUAGAUACCCUGGUAGUCCACGCCGUAAACGAUGGAUACUAGCUGUUGGAAGCAAUUUCAGUGGCUAAGCGAAAGUGAU